CCCCACCCAGCCAGCCCCUAGCGCAGACGGCGGAGAGCUGGGAUGGAGCGCGCCUUGGCCCGCUGGCCUGGGCCGCUGCUCCUCCGGAGAGCCCGGGCGCCCACGCGAGAACCUCCCUACCCGGGUCUGUCUAAAAGGAUGACACCUUCCGUCUGAUUCCCUGCCUCCAAGGACCACCUGUGGAUGACGAGCUGAUGCCCAGAGGACGCCAGGAGCAGGGGUUCCUGGAUCCCACCAGCAAACAAAGCAACCCCUGGGCAGUGACCGCCCCCGCAGGACGCCGAAGGAUGAAGAGGACCCGAACUGACCACCCCGCUGUCCCUCUUGGCUAAGUGUUGAAACCAGUGCCCUAGUGAGGGGGUGCUGGUUAACCUUGGACUUUCGAUGUGCUUCUGCCUUGAUGCUUUGCUUUUCUAUGUGCGUCUGCUUUGUUAACCUUCCAUCAACCUGGAGGUUUCACCAUCCCCAGGGAGGUGUCAGUCUUUCUCAAUCCACCCCGUCACCACCCCCAGGAUGGUCUGAAAGGAAGGGUCCCUUUGGGAACUUCUCAGGAGGGAGACCUGGGCCAAGGGCUCGACCAGCAUCUCCCUGGCAAUUCCAAGGCCCCGGAUGGGCUUCUGGAAGGAGCAUGUGCCCCGAGGCCAUGCUACCGAACUGCCAGGGGCAUCCCCACCUCCUCUGAGAUCUCCUCGUCCUUUCUGGGGAACGGGAUCGAGCAAAGCAACCUCCCAGGGUGUUGUGAGUGUUGGUCUGAUACUGGGAAGCCGGUAAGGCCAGGCAUAGAAGAGGCGGUCAGUUAAUGUUUUUCCAAACAGGUUGGUCGGCCAUGUACCCCUCACCCCUCUCAUCACCUGUCUCACGCUUCUCGUUUAUUCUUCCACAGCGCUCCGGACAAGCCCAGUCCGCAGGGCUCUCGGUGCACCAGCCCCGCCUCCUGUAAAGCCUAUCUACAUACGCUGUCUUCCUUCCUCACCUUCCGUUUCCCCUCCAACCCACCGCUUCGUGGUCUCCUCUGGUCUGUUGAACUCCACCAGCUCUAAGGUAAUGACUUUUCUGGAGCUUAACUCCAGACACGUUUCCGGCUCCCGGACGCAUGGACACGUAUUCAAUGUUUCUCUCACGGUCUUCCCAGCUCCUGGUCCCUGGUGUUGACAGACAGCCCUCUCCCCUCCACCCCCUGACCUGUAGAUGGUACAGAGUCACCUGCUCCUGGCCCUCCUCCUUCUUAACCUCUCCUAGAAGAGUAUCCAGCCCUUCCAGAACCUUCCAGAACCUGCCUCUUGGCAUCUUCUCCGGGUUGGCGUCCAAACCACCUAGAGCUGAGGCCUCGAGGUAGCUCAGUGUUUCCAAGCCUUUCCACCUUUCUCUCAGUUGCAGAAUAGUUAUCUUUACCUGGCAGGUCAGGUGGGCUACCCUGCAGGUAAAACCUCAAGUUCCCACUAUUCGAGGAACUUGAAAUAAAUUCAGUCAAGUAUUCAUGAGAAAAUACAGCGAAGGUUGCCAUCUGAUUUUCUUGUAGGUUAAGUUCCCACAGGAAGGAGUGCAAGGGAGAAAAAAGAAGUGGGGGGUGGGGGCAAGAAAGAAGCAAAGACCAGAAAAAGGCCCCCAAGACAAAAAAAGGAGCAAAGGGAGACUUAGAAAAUAAGAAAACCCACCCCCCAAAAAAAUAUCCAGAGAAAGGUUCCUUCUUGGGUUAGGCGAAAAGAAAGUAAACAGGAAAAAGGUUUUCAAUUGAUUAUCCCAGUGACAAGUCCCAGGAAGCUUUCAAAUCAAAUUGCCCCAUUUUAGGUUUUUAACUCCUUCUAUCGGGUUUAACCUCUUUACCUCCUGCAUCCUGGUUAAACCCUCCUCCUGGCCCCCUUGGCUGGUGAUUAAAUCCUGAAGGUACAUGGAGCCUUUCAGUGAAUGAAUGGCCAGCAGAAAGAGCCCCCCCUCCCCCCAGCUGUGUUUUUCAGUUUUAUCCCACUUUCUGCCCUUUUCCCCUAAUGAACACAGGGCUAAUCUUGGGCCUUGUCAAGGAAGAGGCUGUAGACCUUAAUGAGGUAGCUGCUGGAUUCCAAUAUUCAUCUCAUAAGGAGCCUUCUUUGUCUGAGAAGGAAAGACACUGAUUAUCAUAAUGAGGUGAACUGCGGCUGCAGGGCAGGGGCAAAGAGGGUCUGAAGCCACACUUCUAAUUUUGGUGCUGGAGCCCAGAGACUCAUUCUGCUCCCCAUUCAAGUCUUUGCCUCUGUCCCAGCUCGUGCAUGGAGCGAGGUUGAGAGUUGCAGGCCGCUUUGGGCCACAGAUGAGGGCUGCUCUGCAGAAGAGUUCCUUUGUUUGACCCUGCGUGCAGACCAGCCCUGGGCCAGGGCAACUCGGGCCUCUGGGAUCAGUUUUCCAGGAGCAGAGAGACAGAGAUGCGGGUCUGGCUCACCCCGCUGUUAAACUUAGGGCUCCCCAGUGUUAAACCUGUGAGACUUCCAAAUGAAAAGUAAGAAAAGUAGAAAAGGAAGUCCUAGGUGCAGACCCCAUGCAAUUGUAGCCGUCUGCGGAAUGCCCCUUCCAGGUCAGGAAGUGGAUGGGUAUUGGUACCCCAGCACAGCCCCCUCCUCGUAGAAGGACAGCUGGGGGCUCACCCUCAGCCCCUCAUAUGAUGAGAGUGCCAGUGGUCUGUCAGGACCACUCAGAUCCAGUAUCCAAACCCAGCGUCGCCCACUUUACCCCCUAACGGUCCCUCGCAUGUGUCCUGCGCCCACUCUGCCCCUUGGGCCUCUCCUUCCGCGUUUGUUCUUGAAACCCCUGGGACCCUUUCAUGUCUUCAGGGCAGGUGUGAGUCAGAAACUUGCCCUUAUGAAUCCUGAGUUCUGGAUGUUCCUCACCUAAAGGCAGAUCAAUCAGGAUUAGAUCACUCCAGUUAAACCUCAGACUCCAGCCAGACCUUCCGCCACAUGGGGGAAAAAAAGGGAGGGGAGGAGAAGUGGAGUGUUUGGAGCAAGAAAACUUGAUUAGUUGAAAACUUACAGUCCUCUCUCCCUCAACUUACCUGUUGGCUAAAGGUCCCCUGGUGUUGGUGGAUGAGAUUUAGACAUUUCCUGAGUCAGCGAAACCACCUCCCAUCCAGCCCACUAGAUGACAAGUGUGGACGGCAGCCCAGAUGGCCAGCUGGGGCCGCUCCAUCGCUUUUGGUGGUGGGGACCCCAGAUGUUGCCCAGACUUGGGGGCUGGAUGGGGUGAGCACUUCUGAGAAUAGGGGGUCCCACCAAAACUUGCUUCUUCUGUGCAGUUUGUGGAGAGUAAACUUCUAGGGCAGCUCCUGGUGUUCUAGAAGGAUUAUUUCUAGAAGUAGGAAAAAGAAAAUCCGUAGAACCCUUCAUACCCUCAAAUACAUACCAAUAAUUAAAAUACCUGCCCCGGAGUCAUUAAUAUUUUAGCAUUUGAGAACCCAGGUAGGAGGUGGAAGGCAAUUGAACUCAUCUUCUGAGGCCACUGGCAGCGGGGUGUCUGUGCUCGUGACUCCUGAGUGGACGGGGGACUGCUUUAACCUGUGUCCUUGUUUCUGUGGCCCCCCUUCUGCACCUGAACUGACACAGCUCCCCGCUCCCCAUGCGCACGGGACACCUGCCCCCCACUCCCCCAGCCUGGGGGUCCUGCCCGGCUUCCUGUGUGGGGCCCGGGAGGGCUCAGCCACCAUUAAGUCAAUCCCGGAGGCUCCCCCCAGUUCUUCUGAUCCUCCCGUUUUUUUUUCUGCUUUCACUGCCCCCUUCUGUAGUCCAUCCGUCUUCUCUCCCCGACUCCUGUUUCCUUAUCUGGUCCUCAGGGGGGCGUCCUAGGCCAGCCCACUCCUCCUUUGGGUGUCCCAGCACCAGCCUGGCACAAAAUGGGGCUCAGUAAGAGUAUGUGGGAUGUCUGGUUGUUUGGACAGGUGAGUCAAGGAAGGAACUUGACUGUCAAAGCUGAACUGCUAGGUGGGAGACACUGGGAGUGCAGGAAGCGUUAGGUCUAAAGGGUGGAGGGUGGCCGUCCUUUAACCGAGGGGUGGGUGUCGCCCCAGCCCCAGCCCCUUUUGAGUGGGGGCCCCACCAGUCUCACCCCUUCUUGGACUCACGCAUCCAUCCCGUCAUCCAACAGUUGAUCCUUACUGAGCAAGCCCAUGGCUUGGCCCCGGGCUGGGCACCUGCCACCCUAGCGCGUCCCUUGAUGGCCUCUGCCUCCCCGGGGUGGGGGGCCGGGGGGUUGCUUCUGCCCAGGGUGCCCUGUUGGCCCCCGGGCGCUGGAGCAGCAUGCUCCUGCUCUGUAGAGAAGGCAGGCUGGGGUGGGGUGCGAGGGGCAGGCCUGCUUUGCCUUGCUGUGGUCGGCUGGCCCCCUUUGAAUCCGAAGCCUGGGGAGGGGGCCCCGAACCUGCCCUUCUCCAGGGCUCAGCCGCAGGUCCCAGCCAGCCAGCCCCUCCUGCCCCUAACCCUCCCCGCCUGUCCCGUAGCUGAGUGCUCAUGGCCGUCCUGCGCUCCCAGCCCUGACGUUCAGGACUGAGGAAGCGGCCUGGGGCAGCCGUGGCCUGUGUCCCCUUGGGCUCUGGCCGCACCAGGUCUCCCUCUUGAGUUGGGGGUCUGAAGGCUGGACCCCUCCCUCCAGGAUUCCCUCCUACCCCUGGGACUACGUCCAGCUCCCCCACCCCCCUUUGUGGGCGGGGGCCUGCCCACCGCCAAGGGCCCCUGGCUGGGAACCUCCAGGGGACCUGCAGGCCUCACCUCUGCCUGGCUGCCCACCUGGCUCCUCCUGUAUCUGGCGGCUCCUCCUCUGGCUUCCCCUCCGCUCCCCUGCUAGGUUGACUGCCCUCCCCCCCACCCCUGGCUCUUCUUGCCAGAUCUGACCUGUGUGCCCUUCCCUGUGCCCCCUUCUCUGGGUUCAGGACCCUCUGCGUCUCAGCCAUCCGACUGUCUGCCUAACACGUUGGUUUUCCUUGCUGAGCCCACACCUGUGGUUACCUGCGUGCUGCCCCGCCCACCUCCCACCUGCGUGCCUUUUCCCUGUCUCCCCCAGUGCAAGGAGGCCUUCCCCCUCAGGGUGACUCAAGUUUCCAGGGAGUCUCCAGUGCCCGGGGCGCAAGCCCCCCCACCCCAGCAGGCCACCACCCCCAGCAUCCUCGGGUACCUCUUCCUGUGGGCCUGGCCGCCCAGGCUCUGAGUGACCCUGGGCUAUAGCCAGGCUUUUGCACUGUCCCCUUCUCCCCACCUGAAUCCCCCCAGACCCCUUGUCACGUCCUGCCAGGCCUGCCCGUCUAAGCGCCGUGUCCCCGCGAGUCCCAGGCUCGGCUCCCCCGUCCUCGCCCCCCCGGACCUUGUGGCCCGUUUGGGGGCUGCUUCCGGGCCUGUCACUCCACACCUCUUCCCAUCCUUGCCGCCCCCAAGAGCCACCUCCCUCCACCGAAAACCAGAUGGCAGGAGCCCCGGCGGCCCCGGAUUGUGAACGCCUGGACGGAGGAGGUGAAGGAGCUCCCCUGGAGCAGCACGCCUUCCGGAGGGUCACCCGACGUCUCGCGCCUGCCCCGAGCCGCGACGCUGCUGCCUGGACUGGGCCGAAGCCAUCACCUGGAAUCCUCCACGGUCCAGGACCUCGAACCCGCCACCCCAGCACCCUCUAGCUCCAUAAUCGGCAAACUAGGAUGGAAGUGGCCUAGCUGGGGGGCCCUGCGACGGGCCAAGGAGAAAACGCGGGCAGUGGCACCAGCCUCUGAAACCGUCUCCGAGCUUCAAUAAUCUUCGCUCGCCUCCCCCCUUGAAAUGUCCGGAUGGACAGAUUUUCUGUCUUCAAAGCUUCCAGCCAAACCUCUUCAAGAUUUUUAUUGUUUGGGACUGGGACGCUUAGCAAUAGUGAUGGGUAGUUCCUUUUUUAUUUGCCUUGAAAGGCCAAAAUACAUUUUUGUGUGUGUGACUAUAGACAAAGCCGUCUGCUUUCAGAUGAACUCUAUGUCCGUCGGCUCCCACCAGGGAGAUUGUAUAUACCAUGUGUGUCUCUGUGUAUUCUUGGGUCUUGAAACAGGUUUCUCAUAGGGAUGACCAUCCCAAGGGAAGUGCCUGCUCCACCUACGGGCCUGGGGAGUCCGACCCCUGUCUGUGCAGGGUGUGAGCCCGGGGUGGGGGUCUGGCUGCACUAACACGUAUUCUGCCUGUGCCUGCAUCUGCCAUGCUUAUGUGUCAAGGACUGUGGGUUGUGUGCACUUUGGUGGUCAGCUGGGUGAGAGGGGGGUGGGAGGUCAGAGAUACUGUGAAUGUCCUAUUGUUCUGGUUGGGAAAUCAUUUUGCUGGACUCUGUUACCUGAUCCAAAGAUGCGAGUGGAUGAAUAAAUGAAUGCAGGCAUGAAAGAAUGAAUAAACAAACAAAUAGUGUAAAGAAGUGUACCCUGAAUGAGAUCCAAUUGGAUACAUAGGAGAUCAAUAAAUAAGUCGAUGAAGCAUGGAGUCUUCUUAGUAUGUAAAUAGGGCCAUGCAGAAACCAGUAUCAGGUUACCCUGGACUAAGGCACAUGAGCAAUUCAAAUACACAGCAUCUAAAAUUUGUCCAUAAAGGAAGAAAAACCGACAUGACGGAAAGAAAGAAUAAGGAGUCUGGAUGUGUAAACUAGGGGUGAGGCUGGGAUGGUGAGGCCCAUCAAAGGGAAAAGAUGAGAGAGAGGGCGCCAGGGGUCGACAGCGGCAAGGAAAAUAGAAAGAUGCAAAUUAAUACCUAAAAAAUAGGGAAGGUAACUUUUAAAAUACUCACCAUAAGGAGGACUAUGUCAGGUUAUUAUAAGCCAAGCAUUAGGAUUAAUCCAAAUACGUGCUCUUGGCAGUAGAAAAAAGGAGAAAACACCAGAGGAAGAGCUCAAAGGAUAGUUAAAAAUGAAAAAAGACCUAGGGGACCAGAGAUGAGAUUUAACUUUAACUCAAAGUUUUCUAAUUCUGGGCACACAUAAGUAAAUACUAACGUGAGAGAAAGUAAAAAAAAAGAAAAGAAAAAAAUGAAGGGAAGGAUGAGUAGUGGACAUACCUGGAUCCAGAAGGGAGCAGGGCAGAAAGGGUUUUGAGUCAUCCACUCCUGCAAACUGAGGUCUGUUCCAUGAAAGGAUUAAAAAAGAGAAUGAAAUAUCUAAAUAAAAAUCUAGUAAUGUAGAAGAAAAAGUAACGGGUGUGAAGUCCAGAAAAACAAUAGUGGGUGAAUAGAUAAACAUAGGAAAGAAGGCAGUGCUAGGAGUUGAGUAAUAGACGGUCACGAAUCGAGGGUUGUGGUUAGUCUGACCCUGAAAGCCACCGGACUAUCAAAAAAUGAUAAGUAUCUCAAUAAACAAGUGAGCGAGCCUCUAAAGAGACAAAGAUGGCAUGGAGUGAGGUGGGGGAGAGGCUGUGGUCACACCAAAGCUCCAGGAAAAUUAAAGAAGGCAAGUGAGAAAAAGUGAGAAAGGAGGAGAUGUAGAAAGUUACAAUGAAAGAAAGAAUAAAAAAGGUGAUAAAUGAGUAGAUCCUUGGAAGAAAGUGAGGCUAGGAAUCCAAACUGUGGAUCAAAAUGGGUCAAAACCUGAGCACGCACUCCAUUAAUAGAGGAGUAAAUACCUAAUAAAAAGAAAAAAACAGGAAGGAAGAAUGGUGUGAAUGAGUGAAGGAAGGAAAGCAAGAAGGAAUGAAUGACAGAGAGGCAGAGCUGAAGGGCCUGGGCCUAGGCUCCAUCAGGUCGUGGCACCUGAGCUCCAGAGAAUGCAAGAAAGAGAGAGUUAAAGAGAGAAACAGUGAAACUGAAAAUGGGAAAGAAAUGACAAGUCAGAAGUCCGAUUAGAAAUGCAAAAAGAAAAAGGAAUAUAUCAAUAGGUAGAUAAAUGCAUAUAUAAGAGAGAGUUGUUCUAGGAAUAAGAAUGGGAGGGGGUGUGAACCAUGCACAUGGAUGAAUUCACAUCUGGGCUUCUGAGAUGGGCCACCACCCACCCAACCGGCAGGCAGGUCAAAGCUGAAAUACCUAAGGGAGGACCUCCGAGAGGCCAGGGAGGGGAGGACCCAUUGCUUAUAGAUUAUCAUGUAUCCAAUUAGGUAUCCUGCCAUCUAGAAGUGUAAAAACAAUUACCAAAGAGAAAGGAAGCCUGAAUGGGUGCAUGAAGGCAUGAAUGAAUGAGAACAAAAAUUUGCAGUGACCAAUGAGGCUGAUGUUGCGAGGGGUGUUAGGAUUCAUCCACUUCCUGGUGCCCAAUCUCCAAAAGAAAGAAAGGCAGUAAGGAAAAAGCCUGAGAGACUGGUAGAAGAGAACAAUUAAUUAAGAUGGGAGGAAAAAAAAAUAAAAAGCUUUUAUAAAGAAGUAAAAAAAGAUAAUAAGUAUGUCAGUGAAGUCUGUGAGAGGGGACUGGUUUAGCACAGAUCAUCCACAUUCAUUCAGAUCUCUGGCCCCAAAGUUGAUAAAUAGUAAAAAGAACAAUAGCAUAAAUAAAAGCCUGAAGGAAUAAAUGCACGCAUUCCAUGAGAAGGCAAGGAAAGGAGUUUGAAAAAUUGAAGGAGAGACUGGGAGAAAGAAAGAUGGGAGAAGAAAUGAAAAUAGAUGGAUGGAAGAAAAAAGGCACUUCCUGGAUAAGUACUUCAUAAACAUAUUAUUCAUUAAAUAAAAAAACUAGUAAAAGCUGAAGUUCAUCAGAAAGAAAGAAUAAAUAAGGGAUGGCUGUGUGAAUGAAUGAAUGAGGAAGGGGGCUUUGAUGAAUUUGCCUCUGCACUUGAGGCUCUUGAGAAUAAAAGAAUGCCCAAAGAGCCAGUGAGGAAGGAGGAGGGGAAUAGACAAUUAUGACAAGAUGGAUAUUAGCAAUAAAAACAUACUGAAUGAAUAAAUAAAUAUGUACAUAAAUUACGAGAGGGAGGGCCAUGCUAGAACAGAAAAAGAGAAGGCACCAUGCAGCAGAAAUUAAGAGUGAUUCAGAACUGGGCUCCUAAGAGAGUUAAAGUCCUCCCGCAAAUCGCCAGUACAAGGAAUUAGUGAACCGAAGGGGCCCUCAUGGACUGGUGCCGAGAAGGCUCCAGGAACUACAGAUGACGCUUAAUCCAAUUCUGUGCACCUGAGGUCCGUAAAUAAAAGAAUAAAUAUUGAAACAGAAGAGUGACAGAAAGAAUGAAUGGACCCAUGAAUGACUGAAUUAGUAAUGGAGAUGCCUGAGGCGGCCCAUGGGAUUGUCACUCAUCUCAUUCCGGACACCUGAGGUUCCUAAGAGUAAAAGAGAAGCAGAGAAAGAAAUGAGGCGAAAUGAAACUUAAGUGAGAGAGAAAGGUGAGGGACCCAAUAGAAAGUUAGUGAAGAUGUGGGUGUGUCCGAGAGAAGGGUCUGUUAGAAUUAGGGGUGAGGUGGUCAUCAAUCCUAAUGAUGGAUAAGGUCAUCUAGUCCCCUUUUCUAGGGCAAAGGAGGAUGGAGAGAUUAAAAAAGAAGCAAAAAAAAAAAAAAAAA